rnacentral:lncRNA from 1 species
ACGGCUUAAUUAAUUUUUAGAUAUUUUUUCGACAAUCAGGUCCCAAAGCAAAAACAAAGAUUCAUUGUAAUUUAAGACUUUUAGGUAUUAGAGACAACAUUAAAAGACCGAUAUGUAGGAUAAAGCAAAAAUCGUAAUUCUCAUAAUUAUUAAUACCGUAUCUGUCUGUCUGUUCUUGUCUUGUCUUCAUAUUGUUGAUUGUGAUUAGACUUUGGUGAUUUUUUUUAUGACUAGAUUUAAAUAUAGUGACAUUGCAGUAUUAUACUUUAAGUACUAGUACUGCUUAAGUCCACACUAGGGACCAUCUUCACCUUGUUUUACGAUCUUUUACGGUAUUAAUGAUUCUUUAAAAGUAUUGUUGAAGACCAUCCGGCAACUAUCAAGAUGAAGAGCAGGAACACAAACUUUGACCAUUGAUCAUUUGUAUUUUUUCUAUGCAUUGACUUUGUGUGCGAUUAUGUCCCCAUACUCCUUUAUUAUCUGUUAAAGGGUCUCAACACGACUUAAUGCAAGUUUAACCUUUCAAUGUAAAAGGUCAUAUAUGGCAAUACCUUGUUUUUUUUCUUCAAAUUAUUUGAUACCGGGAAAUAUGUGACCUUACUUUAAUUCAAACCAUGUCAGCUAUCUAGUUUUAUUUACAAUAAAACAAACUGUUUUGUAUUCUUUGAUAUCAAUUUCAAUUAUCCAUGCAGAAAGGACAUUUUUUUUGUCCACUGAGUAGCAUCGCAUGUUCUUAAAAUAUAUUUCUCGCACAAUUCUGGACAUCGGUGGACAUGCAACAUUGCAAAACCACGUUUACAAAUGAAAAUCAACGCUCAGACUAUAGUCAUAAAGUAGGACAAUAAAUGAACAAAAGACAAACCCGGAACACAGAAGUACAAACAAUAGACCAUCAACUCUGAAAACUAAAAGGAAAAUAGAAACAUGGAUAACGAAAAACAUCCAGGGGAUACACCAGAGAGUGAAGAGAACUUGCUUCUUGCAAGACACUUUCCGUGAAAACAAUUUGAUAUUGUUUCAUUUUUUUAUUUUUUUUUGAAAUUUUUUACAUGAGGCACUU